CCACGGCACAGUCCCCAAAGGGCUGAGGUUGGCCUAUCAAAGAGAAUACGAAGGGACAGAUGCUCCUGAGGAUUAUGUGAUUUGCACAUUGAUUUAUCUCCUUUGACCUAGAGGUUUCUCCUGACUCAUGCAAGUGUGAAUGCAGGAAAAAAAAUUGAAGUUGCUGCGCAGUCAGAGAGGAGGGAUUAAUGAAGUUCAGCAGCUUUCCUUGGAAUUAAUCAAACUUCAAGAAAUCCUUUCUCAGAAAAUUUUGGAAUGGAUUCUUGUCUAA
rnacentral:lncRNA from 1 species